rnacentral:misc_RNA from 1 species
GAUGAAGAACGCAGCGAAAUGCGAUAAGUAAUGUGAAUUGCAGAAUUCAGUGAAUCAUCGAAUCUUUGAACGCAUAUUGCGCUCUCUGGUAUUCCGGAGAGCAUGCUUGUUUGAGUAUCAGUAAACACCUCAACUUCCAUAUCUUUUUUGAAAUGGGAGUUGGACUUGAGUGAUCCCAACGCUUUUCCUCACCGAAAAGUGGCGGGUUACUUGAAAUGCAGGUGCAGCUGGACUUUUCUCUGAGCUAUAAGCAUAUCUAUUUAGUCUGCAAAAAAAACAGAUUAUUACCUUUGCUGCAGCUAACAUAAAGGAGAUUAGUUCUUGUGCUGACUGAUGCAGGAUUCACAAAGACAGGCUUCGGCCGACUUUGUAAACUCGAUCUCAAAUCAAGUAAGACUACCCGCUGAACUUAAGCAUAUCAAUAAGCGGAGGA